GUUUUAUUUAUUUAGAUUUAGACCAGAGUUCGGAGUUUAGUCAUAGGCGGUUGGUAAGAUUCAGAAUAUCAAGCAUCGGGGAAGAAGAGAAAAAAGAAAUGGCCUUGAUGAGGGGACAGCCUUUGGUGACAAAGCUAGCAGCUUUGUCCAAGUACGUGCUGCUACCGGCUACCAUGGUUGCUGCCCUUAUUCACUCUCCUCCCAACUACGCUUCUUCCAAGAAGGACAAAUCCCCCACUUAAUUUCUCUCUUUCGAUUUUCUCCUGGGCUAUGUGCCUAUUUUCAAUAAUGGGAUUUCUUCAAGAUUUCAGCAUAUUGUUUCUAGGUAUGUAGAGAGUUGAUUGCUUGCCUUCAAAGAACUUUUGAGUUACAAUCUUCUCAGACCGUAAAAAAAAAGGAAGGACAUUAUGCAAUGAAUAUGAAAUUGGCCCAUUAAUUACGCUGUUGAAUAAUUUGGAUUAAUAUGUUGUUAAAUGAUCAUCAAUGCUCUCUAUUUUUCUAAUUAAGCUUGCCUCAGAUUGUUGGGCCCACUUGAACCUAGAAAUGUUAUAAUAUGGUCACUUGCAGCUAGAAAUUUGGUGGAUUAAUUGUGUCCCAUUGUUACUAUUUAUUGGGGUGAGAGAGUGAAGGAAAUUAGUAAAUGUGGUUUCUAGUUUUACCA